AUCACUGGAGCACAAGGGGACAGAGUGAGCUCUCCCGAGUGCCAAGGGAAGCCAGCGAGGGAUUACAAGGGUGAUCCCUAAAGGUGUAAAAGGAGCCGUAGCAAACCAGGAGUUGGUGAGGCCCAGGCAACCAGUAUUUUAUCAGGCCCUGCACAUGACGCUGGGGCACACUCAAGUUUGAGAACCACCGGUCUGCCGCCCAGCAAGGGAGUGGAGGCACAGAGAUGGAAGGUUCCAGAAGACAGGAACUGUGUCCAUCCCCAGACAGAAACCGUGCCUCCUUUUCUGCACAUCCAAGGCAAUGCCGUCCCCACCCACGAUAAAAGCAGCCUUUUGCCUAGAGCCACCUAACUCGGCACCCCAUUCCCCGUGCCCCACUGCCCCACAACUCAGCCAUUCCAGCUAACAGAAAACAGCCAGUCUAGCGGCCUCCACGCUUCGGGCCUUCCCGCCCAGGCCAACUGGGCAAGGCAGGACCCCACUGCCGUGCCCAGCACAGGGACCCCGAGG